rnacentral:rRNA from 1 species
AGUGAACGCUGGCGGUAGGCCUAACACAUGCAAGUCGAACGGCAGCACAGUAAGAGCUUGCUCUUACGGGUGGCGAGUGGCGGACGGGUGAGGAAUACAUCAGAAUCUACUUUUUCGUGGGGGAUAACGUAGGGAAACUUACGCUAAUACCGCAUACGACCUACGGGUGAAAGCAGGGGAUCUUCGGACCUUGCGCGAUUGAAUGAGCCGAUGUCGGAUUAGCUAGUUGGCGGGGUAAAGGCACACCAAGGCGACGAUCCGUAGCUGGUCUGAGAGGAUGAUCAGCCACACUGGAACUGAGACACGGUCCAGACUCCUACGGGAGGCAGCAGUGGGGAAUAUUGGACAAUGGGCGCAAGCCUGAUCCAGCCAUACCGCGUGGGUGAAGAAGGCCUUCGGGUUGUAAAGCCCUUUUGUUGGGAAAGAAAAGCAGCAGGUUAAUACCCCGCUGUUCUGACGGUACCCAAAGAAUAAGCACCGGCUAACUUCGUG